AGAUUUACACUUAAGCAUCCAUUCUUAGAUAUUUAGGUUUUUAGUCAUCACCAGAUUUAUAGUGUUCCCUAAGUUAUGAAUGUUGAACUUUUGAACAGAAUCUACCCAGAAUGUAUUGAUGUGUAUGUAUUCAAAUAGGAUUAGAUUUUGCUCGCUAUUCUAGAGAGCAAGAUGUGUUCCCUGAAAUGUGUUAUCUUACUUUUUUGAUUCCAUGAUGGUCACAGCUCUGUUAUCUAAAGGAAGAUGAUCAUAGUGUGUUCCUAUUUAUUUAAUUAGCCCAAAAGAAAUGGUCACCAUAUACCUGAGGCAGGGAACUUUCAGGAGACUGGAGACAUUUAUUUGAUGUCAUUAUGUUUCUUCUUGCUACAUACAACAAAAUUAAUUUUUCAAUAGAAAUAAUGGGUUUGGCAUUUUCUGAGGUGACCUAGGAAAUGGAUGGAUAGUUUCUUUAAGAAAAUGGUUCUGAGCUGCAAGUGAUAAGUGCAAUUAUGGUACACAGUUUAUCUGCCUAUUGGAAAUUGUUUAUAAUUUCUGAUAGCUCUUCAGUAUAAAAUUUUUAAAGUAUUUUUGAACUUUUUAUUGAAUUUGUUACAAUACUGUUUCUGUUUUAUGUUUUGAUUUUUUUGGCCAUGAGGCAUGCGGUAUUUUACCUCCCUGACCAGGAAUUGAACCCACACCCCCUGCACUGAAAGGCAAAGGCUUAAACACUAGACUGCCAAGGAAGUCCUUCUACAUAUAAUUUUAACUCUAUUUGAUUUAUGUUAUAACAAAUACUGUCUUUGAUUCUACUCUAGACAAUUUUUUAAAAAGAUCUCUGUAUAUCAAGGUUAACUUGCUACUAAUAGUCUUUCUUUUAACCAAUGUAGAUUUUUGAAUAGGAAAUAGACACAUAUAUAAAUGUUCAUACUAGUUUAGUUACCAUAAAAUUUUUCCAAGGGAAAUAAAACAUAUUUUUUCACAAUAAAUAGUUAAUCAUUUUUCAUUAACUAAGGGGUGAGACUCAGCAUCACUAACAACAGGACAACUUGACUUAAGUGCCUUCUCAUAUGAUGCAAUACAUAGUCCUCACCAAUAGAGAAUUCUUACUGAAAAAAUAUUUACAGUUAAUACAAUCAAGCUUUUAGAAUUAUCUCCCAUCCCAGUUUAAAAAAAUACAGAAAUGAGAGAAACAAAC
rnacentral:lncRNA from 1 species